rnacentral:rRNA from 1 species
CAGCCGCCGCGGUAAAACCAGCACCUCAAGUGGUCAGGAUGAUUAUUGGGCCUAAAGCAUCCGUAGCCCGUUUUGUAAGUUUUCGGUUAAAUCCAUGCGCUUAACGUAUGGGCUGCCGGGAAUACUGCAUAACUAGGAAGUGGGAGAGGUAGACGGUACUCGGUAGGAAGGGGUAAAAUCCUUUGAUCUAUUGAUGACCACCUGUGGCGAAGGCGGUCUACCAGAACACGUUCGACGGUGAGGGAUGAAAGCUGGGGGAGCAAACCGGAUUAGAUACCCGGGUAGUCCCAGCUGUAAACUAUGCAAACUCAGUGAUGCAUUGGCUUAUGGCCAAUGCAGUGCUGCAGGGAAGCCGUUAAGUUUGCCGCCUGGGAAGUACGUACGCAAGUAUGAAACUUAAAGGAAUUGGCGAGGGGAGCACCA